GCCGGGCGUGGUGGCGCACGCCUGUGAUCCUGCUGCCGGGAGGCUGAGGCUGGCGGAUCCCUUGAGCCCGGGGGUUCUGGGCCGCAGUGGGGCUAUGCCGAGCGGGCGUCCGCACUAAGUUCGGCAUCAAUAUGGUGAGCCCCCGGGAGCGGGGCGCCACCAGGUUGCCUAAGGAGGGGCGAACCGGCCCAGGUCGGAAACGGAGCAGGUCAAAGCUCCCGUGCCGAUCAGUAGUGGGAUCGCGCCCGCGAGUAGCCGCUGCGCCCCAGCCGGGGCGAUACGGGGAGACCCAGCCUUUU
ensembl:misc_RNA Metazoa_SRP Metazoan signal recognition particle RNA